UACGAAGGGGGCUAGCGUUGCUCGGAAUCACUGGGCGUAAAGCGCACGUAGGCGGACUCUUAAGUCAGGGGUGAAAUCCUGGAGCUCAACUCCAGAACUGCCUUUGAUACUGGGAGUCUUGAGUUCGGGAGAGGUGAGUGGAACUGCGAGUGUAGAGGUGAAAUUCGUAGAUAUUCGCAAGAACACUAGUGGCGAAGGCGGCUCACUGGCCCGAUACUGACGCUGAGGUGCGAAAGCGUGGGGAGCAAACAGG
rnacentral:rRNA from 1 species